GAUCUACACACACAAAGGGCAGGGGAUGUUUUCAUUGUGAAUGUUUGUUUUUCGAGUAAGAAGCGCUGUUCAAUGGGGCCUGCGCUUACGCUUCUGAAGUGCACAGAGAGCCACAGAAUUAACCCCAAGGAAUUCCUCUUUGGCACCCUGUCUCUGCUUCAAGGACAGAACAGCACAAGAGGGAUGGAAGGACUUUUCCCCCUUGCCCCCUGCCCCUGAAACACACCCAAUGAAGCACAUAAGACUUGAGAAGGAGAGAAAGGAGAGCUCACCCUCUUCCUUCCAUAAAAUGGUCGCUGAUGGUGCCUGCACUUUCGAACACUUUCAAUUAGUUUUGGAGCUGAUCUAGACCAAAGAAAGGUGCAGAGAGUGCUGUAUAAAGAAGCUUGCUCGCUCUGCCCAACCUCCUAGAGCAGAUCGUGAAGAUGAGCAGGAGACGGGUUGCAGAGGGGGCCGGGGGCCGUUUCGCCCCACGUCUCAUUCUGCAUGCAGGAGCAGAAGGAAUUCUGCCAGUGGAAGGACCUUAUUGGAUUACACACCGUCUUUCUCGCCACGCCUUCGCAUGUUAUCCUGCCGACAACCCUUUGAGGUUGAGCUAGCAAGAUUAGCCAGCCCUUGCAGUGAACUGCUGCAGUCACGAUGUUCCCACAAUGUAAUGAUGAUUUCUCCCGAUGAACUGCCAAGGAACAGAGCUGAGUUCCAUACAACAGCUUUCUGCACUGCAAAUCCCAGCUUCGGUCUACGUAUCUGCUUUCCAGGCUGGGGUGCAUUUGGGACGGAACAAGUGGGGCUGUGCCCCAGGGCACCAACAUUUGGAGAGCACUGAAAGCUAGAGGUGAAUCUAUUGCAGAGUAGAAAAUAAACAGCAACCCCUU